UGGUUGCGCUCUAUUGGUUCUAUGGGAGGGCUCUUCUUUUCGCACCUUUCUGUCUCGUAAUACUCCCACCUCCCGCAAGGAGCCACGUUCAUCAUGUCUGGGCACCUUACAAACAGCUGUGUAUGAGAGUGAGUGUGUAUGUGCUCCACAAUAUAUCGGUGUGGCAGAUCCACUCGACUCCGCCUAUCACUUUUGGUAUAUCGAU
ensembl:ncRNA C44E12.4 ncRNA